GACGAACGCUGGCGGCGUGCCUAAUACAUGCAAGUCGAACGAGAGCGACCGGUGCUUGCACUGGUCAAUCUAGUGGCGAACGGGUGAGUAACACGUGGGUAACCUGCCCAUCAGUGGGGGAUAACAUCCGGAAACGGAUGCUAAAACCGCAUAGGUCUUCGAACCGCAUGGUUUGAAGAGGAAAAGAGGCGCAAGCUUCUGCUGAUGGAUGGACCCGCGGUGCAUUAGCUAGUUGGUGAGGUAACGGCUCACCAAGGCCGUGAUGCAUAGCCGACCUGAGAGGGUGAUCGGCCACAUUGGGACUGAGACACGGCCCAAACUCCUACGGGAGGCAGCAGUAGGGAAUCUUCCGCAAUGGACGCAAGUCUGACGGAGCAACGCCGCGUGAGUGAAGAAGGUUUUCGGAUCGUAAAACUCUGUUGUUAGAGAAGAACAAGUGCUAGAGUAACUGUUAGCGCCUUGACGGUAUCUAACCAGAAAGCCACGGCUAACUACGUG
rnacentral:rRNA from 1 species